rnacentral:lncRNA from 1 species
CCUUUGGAUUGGGACAGGCAGUUCUGGAUAAGAUUCUAAGGCCAGCAUAACUACAACCUGACUCUUGUCAUUUUAAAGUUCCAAUGUGUCACUUGGGUUUGUUUUGUUUUGUUUUGUUUGAAACAGGUCUCUCUAGCUUACUUACUAUGUAACCCAAGCCGACUUCAAGCUUACAGCAGUCCUCUUUUCCUAUCUCCCAAGUGCUGGAGCUACAGGUGUGUGCCUCCACCCCAGCUUGUGAGUCUAUUUUUGGACUACAUGUAAUAAUAUAUAUAAUAACAGUUACAGUGUUAAAAGAGUGGUCUCCUCCAAAACUGAACCCUAAUGGAAGACCAAAGCACCCCACCCACCAAAAGAAAACACAGAAGGAACUUAAAGACAAAAUGGAUUGCAUGCUAGCCUUUAGCAGAAUUCCCAGCAUUGCGAACUAGUCAAUAGAGAAAAAUUCCAAACAUCUUACGCAGGCAGCCACCAGCUCCACCUGCUUGUCCUCCAAGCCUUCUGUUUCCCACCCAUCCCAGGUCAAAAUGACUGCUAGUGUUCUGAGUCAGCUCCAUCUCCAGGAGACGACAAGUGGGCUCAGGAGCUCCCUGGCCAGCUUGGGCAGAACUGGGAGAAGCAGGUGGUUGUCCUUUGCCAGGGCAUUAUAGCUGUGACUAAGUGGGUGUUUCUUCCUUGCCUGAAGCCUGGUCUGAAACAAAGGCCAGUGUACCAACCACAGAGUCAGAGGACUUCCUGCAUCCUCUCUCCAAAUUGAGGGAGUGGCUGGUCACGCUCAGGACCAACCCAUUGGAAGAUGCUCUGGGAACCUACAAUCUGAGGCUGAUGUAAUGCAUUUUUCUUAAGGGCGUUUUGUCAACAGAUGAUAAUAGGUGUUGGAAGCAGCCCAGAUGAGUCACUUUUGCAAAUUCCUAAUAAUUGCUUCGGAAGGCUGGAAGCUGAGGUUGUCCGAAUUCUGUUAAGUCUCGGCUUGGAUGACGCACACCUCAGGAAGCUUCUCCCCAAAAGCAGGUGACCUGGGAACUUUCAGCACUUCCUCCUUUUGAUUUCUUUCAUAAGACUUCUUCUGCUGCCUGAACAGCUCCUGCUAGCACUUUGAAAGCUCGUGAGCAAGAAGUUUCUAGUUCAAUCAGCUUGCUUUCUGUCUACCUUAAAACUGAGGCGUGUGGUGUCUUCAGCAUCAGGAUCUUACCCUCUGGUUCUGUAAGUAAGCAAGAGGACUGAAGAGAAUUCUAUUCUUUUGAAGACCCCUCCAGCCUCUCUGGGCAACUCCUACGGAAGUAACUAACUCAGUUCUGGAAGGGGCAGGGUGCAAAAAGGUCAUGUCUAAUGUCUGUGGAAAUCCAGCAACUUUGUCAAGAAAGCAAAAUACAAAUGGUCAAAGUGAAUAAAGAAAUGAAAAGAGAAAAAACAGGAAGGAGGAAGAGAAGAGGAAGGGAGGGGGAGAAAGAGGGAGGAGCAGAGGAAGAGAUUGAGGAAGGGAGGGAGGGAGGAAGGAAGGAAAGGCGUGAAAAAGCAAGCUUCAAUACCCCAAUAGACGCUACAAGGACAGUGUUUCUGACCUUCUUUUAGGAGACUUGAUCCAGCUGGAUUUGCUUACCAUCUAAAGGAAAGGCAAACAAGACACCAACCAUUAAAAUACAGGACUUGAAGAUCACAUAUGAUUAGAAGGCUGUAAUCAGGACAGAACAGGGCAUUGUGGGAUGAGGUGGGCAAAGAUCACCCCAGAAACAAAUCCAAAGCUAUAUUUACAAGAAAAGCAGGAGAAAGACUGCCUCAGGAAAGGACUCAAGUGUGGGCCUGCAGAACAGCAGUGGGAGACAGAGGAAGGGCUAGGUGGCCAAGGGUCAGAUCAUUGUGAACAGAUAGGUGGUGGGGUGGAUGGAUAGAUAGAUAGAUAGAUAGAUAGAUAGAUAGAUAGAUAGAUAGAUAGAAUCACCACACACUUCAAAAAGGAGAUUAGGUUUCAAUCUGAAAGAGUGGUUGAAGGAUUUAAACCUCAAAAAAAGCAGGCAUAUCUUGAGUUUGUGGCCAGCCUGGUCUACAGAGUGAGUUCCAGGACAGCCAGGGCUAUACAGAGGAAAAAACAAAAACAAAAAAACUAAAAAAAAAAAAAAAAAAAAAAAAAAAAAAAAUUAACUGGGAUUGAAAAAUCAGACAUAGGGGCUGGCGAGAUGGCUUAGUGGGUAAGAGCCCUGACUGCUCUUCCAAAGGUCCUGAGUUCAAACCCCAGCAACCACAUGAUCGCUCACAACCACCCAUAAUGAGAUCUGACACCCUCUUCUGGUGUGUCUGAAGACAGCUACAGUGUACUUAUAUAUAACAAUAAAUAAAUCUUAAAAAAAAAAGAAAAUGAAAAAUCAGACAUACUAAUUUAUGAAUUUACAUUGAAAAUAGAAAAAAGAAUUCCUACUCAGCAGGUCAGAGGCUGGUGUCCUCUGGGAAGCAAACACUUGCCCUCGGGGUGACCCAAGGAUGGAUGCCAGAGUCUGAAGAAGAAAAGACUGGUGGUGCUCAGCAGACAAGAAGCCACCUCAUUGGCCACACAAUGAGGAACCACUCACCACUUGGCCAGACACUGAUGUGUUACAGUGGGGAACCUGAAAAUGCAAAGGCAGACAGACGUAGGAGAUUGUCAAGAGACAGAGUUCUAUGGACUCAGUGAUGAACUGCGUGUGGGAAGUGAUGGGGAUUAGGAGUCUGAACUGACACCAAUCACGAAUGAGAAAAAGAAUGCAGGCAUUUAUGUGAGAGGUAGCUAGCUUAAGACUGGCUUCAGACACAACAUUGCAGGAUACUGCUGUCAAAUAAAGAUCCUUUAUAGCCACCAAGCUGAGACUCGGCUGCUUACAGUUCCCAAAGGAGCAACCCUCUCAGAGAUCACUAAUUCAAGUGCGGGUCUAGAUGACAUGGCUCCACAAUGCUACCUGGUGGUUUCAAUUUUCAUUGACCGAACCUAAUACUCAUUUUCUAUCCAACUGUUAGGGGAUGUACCACAUCUUAAUAAAAUAUACACUGUAGCCCUAAUCCUCAGCUCCUGUGAGUGUGUUACUGGGGUCUUGGAAUACUGAAUCAGGUAGCAAUGAGGAUGUUAGAAUAGGCCCUAAUUCUGUCUGACAGAUGUCCUUGGAAGAGGAGAAAAUGCCACAUAAAGCCAGAAACACACAGAAGUUUACAGGACAAAGGACAAAGGUAGAGAUUAGGACAGGACAUCUGUGAGUUAAGGAAAGACAGCUGUGGUCACCACUAGAAGGUAGGAGGAAACAAGAAGUCCAGUCAUGGUGACAUUUAUCAGCACUUGGGUGGCUGGAACAUAAAGAUUUCCAAAGAUUUAAGGCCAACCUGAUCUACACAGUAAGUUCCAGAACAGUUUGGCCUACAUAGUAAGACCCCUUCUCAAAAACCAGAAAACAAAAACAAAACAAAAAAACUCCAUCCAGGAGUGUGACCCACCUGCAACCUUGACUUCAGAAAAGCCUUCAGAAUUAUGAGAGAAUGUAUGUGUGGUUUUAAAAUAGC